UUUUGAAAUCCAAGAUGGCGGACAUUAAUUUUUCUUAAAAAUCGAUAUGGGUGUCAUCUCCGAGGUUCCUCGGGGUUCCAAUUACAAAAAUGACGUCAAUUUUGGCGGUUCUUGUUGGUGCAGAUUUCAAAAAUAGAGACCAUUUUAGAAUUAAAGGUGGUUGAUAUCACGGCUACACACAUCGACACCCAUUUCAAAAUGUAGCGUCCGCCAUAUUUAUUUUCAAAAUAGAUGCCAUUUUUGAAAUCCACACCCCUAAAAACCCAGAAAACAACACCCAUGACGACUUUUUCAAAAAAGUGACGUCCGCCAUCUUUAUUUCCAAAAUGGACGUCAUUUGUAAAAUUAGUACACAUACAUCAUACAACAUGAAAACUAAAAACAUUUCCAUCCUCUUUUGGGCAGUUGUGUAAGUCUGUGAUAACCCUAGGUAGGUACGGAGACCUUGAGCGGUGUCGGCAUUUACGCAAACAUCAAAG